rnacentral:rRNA from 1 species
CCUACGGGAGGCUGCAGUAGGGAAUUUUCGGCAAUGGGGGGAACCCUGACCGAGCAACGCCGCGUGAACGAAGAAGUUAUUCGUAAUGUAAAGUUCUUUUAACAGGGAAGAAAGAGAAAUUUGACGGUACCUGAAGAAUAAGCUCCGGCUAACUACGUGCCAGCAGCCGCGGUAAUACGUAGGGAGCGAGCGUUAUCCGGAAUUAUUGGGCGUAAAGGGUGCGUAGAUGGGAUAGUAAGUCUUUUGUAAAAAUGCUGGGCUCAACCCAGUAGGGCAAAAGAUACUGGAAGGCUUGAGUGUGACAGAGGCAAGUGGAACUACAGGUGUAGCGGUAAAAUGCGUAGAUAUAUGGAAGAACACCAGUGGCGAAGGCGGCUUGCUGGGUCGAUACUGACAUUGAGGCACGAAAGCGUGGGGAGCAAACAGGAUUAGAUACCCCAGUAGUC